ACUCCUACGGGAGGCAGCAGUGGGGAAUUUUGGACAAUGGGGGCAACCCUGAUCCAGCAAUGCCGCGUGAGUGAAGAAGGCCUUCGGGUUGUAAAGCUCUUUUGUCAGGGAAGAAACGGUGGUGGCGAAUAACUACUACUAAUGACGGUACCUGAAGAAUAAGCACCGGCUAACUACGUGCCAGCAGCCGCGGUAAUACGUAGGGUGCAAGCGUUAAUCGGAAUUACUGGGCGUAAAGCGUGCGCAGGCGGUUGUGUAAGUCAGAUGUGAAAUCCCCGGGCUCAACCUGGAAAUUGCAUUUGAGACUGCACGGCUAGAGUGUGUCAGAGGGGGGUAGAAUUCCACGUGUAGCAGUGAAAUGCGUAGAUAUGUGGAGGAAUACCGAUGGCGAAGGCAGCCCCCUGGGAUAACACUGACGCUCAGGCACGAAAGCGUGGGGAGCAAACAGGAUUAGAAACCCUAGUAGUCCCAUGA
rnacentral:rRNA from 1 species